CUGCGUACCUUUUGUAUAAUGGGUCAGCGACUUACGUUCAGUUGCGAGCUUAACCGAAUAGGGGAGGCGCAGCGAAAGCGAGUCUGAACAGGGCGUUCAGUAGCUGGGCGUAGACCCGAAACCGGAUGAUCUAUCCAUGGCCAGGUUGAAGGUGCGGUAACACGCACUGGAGGACCGAACCCACUAGUGUUGCAAAACUAGGGGAUGAGCUGUGGAUAGGGGUGAAAGGCUAAACAAAUCCGGAGAUAGCUGGUUUUCCUCGAAAGCUAUUUAGGUAGCGCCUCGUGUAUCACUCUCGGGGGUAGAGCACUGUAAUGGUUGGGGGGGUCUUCUAGACCUACCCCGCCAUAGCAAACUCCGAAUACCGAGAAGUGCGAGCACGGGAGACAGACGGUGGGUGCUAACGUCCAUCGUCAAGAGGGAAACAACCCAGACCCACAGCUAAGGUCCCCAAUGAUGUGCUAAGUGG
rnacentral:rRNA from 1 species